UGAGGAAUAUUGGUCAAUGGGCGGGAGCCUGAACCAGCCAAGCCGCGUGAGGGAAUAAGGCGCCAAGCGUCGUAAACCUCUUUUGUCAGGGAACAAAAGCGGGCACGCGUGCCCGUCCGAGUGUACCUGAAGAAAAAGCAUCGGCCAACUCCGUGCCCGCAGCCGCGGUAAUACGGAGGAUGCGAGCGUUAUCCGGAUUUAUUGGGUUUAAAGGGUGCGUAGGCGGCGUGUUAAGUCAGCGGUAAAAGCCCGGGGCUCAACCCCGGCGAGCCGUUGAAACUGGCAUGCUGGAGACGGCGAGAGGUACGCGGAAUGCGCGGUGUAGCGGUGAAAUGCAUAGAUAUCGCGCAGAACCCCGAUUGCGAAGGCAGCGUACCGGCGCCGGACUGACGCUGAGGCACGAAAGCGUGGGUAUCGAACAGG
rnacentral:rRNA from 1 species